UACGUAGGGGGCAAGCGUUAUCCGGAUUUAUUGGGCGUAAAGAGCUCGUAGGCGGUUCGCUAAGUCGGGUGUGAAACCUCCAGGCUCAACCUGGAGACGCCACCUGAUACUGGUGUGACUCGAGUCCGGUAGGGGAGCGUGGAAUUCCUGGUGUAGCGGUGGAAUGCGUAGAGAUCGGGAAGAACACCAGCGGCGAAGGCGGCUUUCUGGUCCGAUACUGACGCUGAGGUGCGAAAGCGUGGGGAGCGAUCCGG
rnacentral:rRNA from 1 species